CUUCCUGACCAGGCCUAAAACCCUGCUCUGAAGCUAGAGGGGAGAGUGCUGGUAUAGAACAAGACCUUGCUUCAAGUGAAGCACAGCCAUAGGAAGGAAGGCCAGUCUAUUACUUUGGAAGGUGUUGAGAAGAAAAGAGAAGAAUCUAAGUUGCUGGGGCUAUGGGAGCUACUACAAGACGAUUCCUCUGCAAGCUCAAGGUUGAAAGUUUUCUGUUGAACACAUGCUGUAGGAAGCCACGAAGCUAACACCAUGGCAGCUGAACCCAUUAAUGCAAGCAGAGAGCUUUUGAAAAAAAGAUUUCCUCACAUGGAGCCAAAUUCAUCCUUAGUGUAAGUCUGACUCCUUUUGAAGCCAAAUCUGAACUUGCCAUUGAACUUGGGUCCCCACCCCUUGUUGAAGCAGAUGUCUCAGCUACUCCUUUCACACAACUGUAGCUCCAUUGACUUCAACAAAGUUGUUCCUGAUUUACACCAGAAUAAGUGAGAACAGAAUAUGGUUGUUGUAGUCACUUAUUCCUGGGCUGAACUUGUCAGAGUGUCUGUCUCUACAUAUACCUGCUUGUUGUGAGCCGCAAUAAAGCUAUGGCCACAGACUGGCCACUUGCAUUUC